AUUGAACGCUGGCGGCAGGCCUAACACAUGCAAGUCGAGUGGAUGAAGGGAGCUUGCUCCUGGAUUCAGCGGCGGACGGGUGAGUAAUGCCUAGGAAUCUGCCUGGUAGUGGGGGAUAACGUCCGGAAACGGGCGCUAAUACCGCAUACGUCCUGAGGGAGAAAGUGGGGGAUCUUCGGACCUCACGCUAUCAGAUGAGCCUAGGUCGGAUUAGCUGGUUGGUGGGGUAAAGGCCUACCAAGGCGACGAUCCGUAACUGGUCUGAGAGGAUGAUCAGUCACACUGGAACUGAGACACGGUCCAGACUCCUACGGGAGGCAGCAGUGGGGAAUAUUGGACAAUGGGCGAAAGCCUGAUCCAGCCAUGCCGCGUGUGUGAAGAAGGUCUUCGGAUUGUAAAGCACUUUAAGUUGGGAGGAAGGGCAGUAAGUUAAUACCUUGCUGUUUUGACGUUACCAACAGAAUAAGCACCGGCUAACUUCGUG
rnacentral:rRNA from 1 species